rnacentral:rRNA from 1 species
UAAUACGUAGGGUGCAAGCGUUAAUCGGAAUUACUGGGCGUAAAGCGUGCGCAGGCGGUUCGGAAAGAAAGGUGUGAAAUCCCAGGGCUUAACCUUGGAACUGCACUUUUAACUACCGAGCUAGAGUAUGUCAGAGGGGGGUGGAAUUCCGCGUGUAGCAGUGAAAUGCGUAGAUAUGCGGAGGAACACCGAUGGCGAAGGCAGCCCCCUGGGAUAAUACUGACGCUCAUGCACGAAAGCGUGGGGAGCAAACAGGAUUAGAUACCCUGGUAGUCCACGCCCUAAACGAUGUCAACUAGCUGUUGGGGCCUUCGGGCCUUAGUAGCGCAGCUAACGCGUGAAGUUGACCGCCUGGGGAGUACGGUCGCAAGAUUAAAACUCAAAGGAAUUGACGGGGACCCGCACAAGCGGUGGAUGAUGUGGAUUAAUUCGAUGCAACGCGAAAAACCUUACCUACCCUUGACAUGUCUGGAAUCCCGAAGAGAUUUGGGAGUGCUCGCAAGAGAACCGGAACACA